AUUGAACGCUGGCGGCAGGCCUAACACAUGCAAGUCGAACGAGUGGCGGACGGGUGAGUAAUGUCUGGGAAACUGCCCGAUGGAGGGGGAUAACUACUGGAAACGGUAGCUAAUACCGCAUACCAUCGGAUGUGCCCAGAUGGGAUGCGCUUGUAGGUGGGGUAACGGCUCCCCUAGGCGACGAUCCCUAGCUGGUCUGAGAGUAUGACCAGCUACACGGGAACUGAGACACGGUCCAGACUCCUACGGGAGGCAGCAGUGGGGAAUAUUGCACAAUGGGCGCAAGCCUGAUGCAGCCAUGCCGCGUGUAGGAAGAAGGCCUUCGGGUUGUAAAGUACUUUCAGCGAGGAGGCGUUACUCGCAGAAGAAGCACCGGCUAACUCCGUGCCAGCAGCCUCGGUAAUUC
rnacentral:rRNA from 1 species